rnacentral:rRNA from 1 species
UGAGGAAUCUUCCACAAUGGGCGAAAGCCUGAUGGAGCGACGCCGCGUGCAGGAUGAAGGCCUUCGGGUUGUAAACUGCUUUUAUAAGUGAAGAAUAUGACGGUAACUUAUGAAUAAGCACCGGCUAACUACGUGCCAGCAGCCGCGGUCAUACGUAGGGUGCAAGCAUUAUCCGGAGUGACUGGGCGUAAAGAGUUGCGUAGGUGGUUUGUUAAGUGAAUAGUGAAAUCUGGGGGCUCAACCUCACAGGCUAUUAUUCAAACUGGCAAACUCGAGAAUGGUAGAGGUAACUGGAAUUUCUUGUGUAGGAGUGAAAUCCGUAGAUAUAAGAAGGAACACCAAUGGCGUAGGCAGGUUACUGGACCAUUUCUGACACUGAGGCACGAAAGCGUGGGGAGCGAACGGGAUUAGAUACCCCCGUAGUCC